AAACCAGACUGCAAUGAGCUGUGAGGACCUGAAGACCAGGGUACAUUGUCCCUAUCCUGGGGACCAGAGUACAUUGUCCCUGUCCUGGGGCCUGGGUGUGCUUUGCAGAGCGCUGGGAACAGGAUGCUCAGCUUAUUAUUCCCUUAUCUCCCGGCCAGGACUGCAUUAAUCAUCUUAGACCUCACUGGGCAUCAGCUCACUCUGGUUUCUGCCUCUGCAGGAGCUGCACGCAGAGGCAUGAGUGCUGGGGCGUGGACGCUCAGCCAUCUCUGCACUCCAGUCUCCGGCAUACCACACCCCGACUCUGUUCUGCACCCAGAGUGGAAGCCUGCUGGAGUCUUGCGUGCUGCGCCAGCUUUGACUUUCAGCUGGAGGAGGAUGCAGUGUGGCGGCCGCCCCAGACUGGCCACGGUCUCUGAUGGGAAAGGUGACCCUGAGGUGUCCCUGUCACCAAGUCUUUCUCCAAGCUGAGUUGGCAGCUGGAUUAAUGGAAGAAGACCCCAGUGAUGUGCCCAGGCAUCUCUGUCUUCAGUUCCCUCUCAGAGGACAUAUUUUCUUUAGUGGCUUGCACAUAGACAUAGGCUCAAUUUAAAAACGAUUUAUUUAUUUUUUUAUUUAUGUGUAUUGGGUGUUUUGCCCUCAUGGAUAUCUGUGAACCAUGUGUGCAAUUCCCACAGAGGCCACGAGAGGGCAGCAGGUUCCCCUGGAACUGGAGUUGCAGAUGGUUCUGUGUUACCAAGUGGCGCUGGGAAGGAGUCUGCAUCCUUUGGGAGAGUGGCCACAAUGCUCUUAACCUCUGCCCAGCCCCAGAUGUGAGCCUGGUCACACCAACCCCAGCACCGUUCCUUAGAGUCAGGUCUCCCUGCUCCCACUUUAAACAGUCUUCUGU
rnacentral:lncRNA from 1 species